AAAAUUACAGAAAUCCUCGGGCAUCUACUCUAGCUCCUGAUCGCUCUCUCUCGAGACAGAAAAUGAAUCCAGAGUCCCUGUUCAAAGCAUCCUGGUAUUAUAAUUGUGGGCAAUGGCCUAUGGCAAUCUGGUGUCUGGGGAAUGCAAAGAAAGACUUCGAAAUCUUCCAGAAAAAAGACCUCUUACUGCAAGAUCCAGAUGUGGAUCCUCAAUCCCAUGGAGGGGCUUCCACAAGGAUCUGGGGAAUAAUGGAACAGAGUUGAUAGAGGUCCAAAGGAUUUUCAUCUCCCCAGCCCACAAAGUCAGAGGGGAUGGCAGACAUGUGAGCAAGGACUUCAAGGUGUGACUUUUUCCUGGUGACAUAGCAGAUGAAAGGGCUGCAGACUUGGAUUGAAAUAUAAUUUUAAAAGGGAUGUCUCUCUCCAGAGACAAAGAGGAAGAGUUUUAUGCAGAAUGGCUUCCCUCCUGCCCAGAUACCAUGCAAGAAGAUUCAGAGAAGAUUUCAUUAUAUCUCACCAUGGACUAACUUACAGAACUCUUAACUCCCCUGUAUAUAAUUUUGGAGAAUCCACAGGACCCAUAUGGACUGAAACACUGGACCCCUUUGGUUUAGUUUUGUUUAAAACCCAGAGAGGUAAAAAUGUAACAUCCUUUGUGUUAAUGUAUCACAUUGCUGCUGACUGAAUAUGCAUGGAGUAACCAAUAAAUUACCUAUUUUAAAAAAUAAUCAAUAUCAUCUUUAGAAAAAUUGGCUGAUAGGGGUACAAAACCAGCUGUACUGAAUAGUGCAGUUCAGUAUCAAGUUCUCAGACAGCAUUUUUUUUAUUUUUGGGGGAGGUAUAAGAAUGUUAAAUAUGGCUAUUCCUCUGAUAGCCCAUCAUUAGUUCACCAGACACAAGUUUAGAUUCCAUUUCAGAGCAGUUGAUGCAUUCACAGGCACAGAAGUCAUCACAACACAGUAUCUGAGAGCAGAAUGAACCGAACAGACUUUGGCUAGUGGUCAGAACUUGUAUCUUGGAAUGCACUGUAUAAGUCAAAAUGUUCCAAUGACACUUCAUUAGGAACACUGCCUAGAAGGAUUUUUUUUUAAUCGCUUGUGGUAGGGCCAGGCAUGGUCCAAGCAGCUGGAGUCCCCAACUGAGCAGAGAAACCUUCUCUGAACUUUCAGGUUUCUUUUAUAGCUUUUUUUUCUAGUGUAACUGAAGUAAACCCCAGGAUACCCAUGCCACUGUCUGAAAUGAAAAAUGAAAACUCUGAAGAAAGAACUUGAAUAAUACUAGCUGAAGUUUUUACCUAGGGUUUGUAGCAUAUUGGAUUAAAUGAUUUCAUUGCAUAUUCCAUAGUACAGAAAUUAGAUAAGAGAAACAGUAAUAAUAAAAGUAUAACAGGGGAUAAGUUGUGCAUG